UGAGGAAUAUUGGUCAAUGGACGAAAGUCUGAACCAGCCAUGCCGCGUGAAGGAAUAAGGCCCUAUGGGUCGUAAACUUCUUUUGUAUGUGAGCAAUAAGGUCCACGUGUGGACCGAUGAGAGUAGCAUACGAAUAAGCAUCGGCUAACUCCGUGCCAGCAGCCGCGGUAAUACGGAGGAUGCAAGCGUUAUCCGGAUUCAUUGGGUUUAAAGGGAGCGUAGGCCGUCGUUUAAGCGUGUUGUGAAAUGCCGCGGCUCAACCGUGGCACUGCAGCGCGAACUGGAUGACUUGAGUUCGCGGGAGGUAGGCGGAAUUCGUGGUGUAGCGGUGAAAUGCUUAGAUAUCACGAAGAACUCCGAUUGCGAAGGCAGCUUACCGUAGCGUUACUGACGCUGAAGCUCGAAAGUGCGGGUAUCGAACAGGAUUAGAUACCCUGGUAGU
rnacentral:rRNA from 1 species